UACGUAGGGUGCAAGCGUUAAUCGGAAUUACUGGCGUAAAGCGUGCGCAGGCGGCUUUGCAAGACAGAUGUGAAAUCCCCGGGCUCAACCCUGGGAACUGCAUUUGUGACUGCAUGGCUAGAGUACGGUAGAGGGGGGAUGGAAUUCCGCGUGUAGCAGUGAAAUGCGUAGAUAUCCAGAGGAACACCAGUGGCGAAGGCGACUCACUGGGCUCCACCUGACGCUGAGGCGCGAAAGCGUGGGUAGCGAACCGG
rnacentral:rRNA from 1 species